rnacentral:tRNA from 1 species
GAGGGUAUAGCUCAGUGGUAGAGCGCAUAAUUAGCAUGCAUGAGGUCCUGGGUUCAAUCCCCAGUUCCUCCU